GUAAACAUAGUUUAAGUAAAAACAUUACGCUGUGGACCUAGUAAUAAGCGCUUGCGCCCUUUGUUUACC
rnacentral:tRNA from 1 species